rnacentral:lncRNA from 1 species
UCAGACAUCCCCUCCCUCCGUGUUUGAAAAUGUCCUCGGCAUAAAGCAUGGUACAAUUCCAAACGAGGAACUAUGCUCAGGAUUGGAUUUAUAUGACUGAUCAGUUUCCUCUGCUGUUAUCGAAAGCAGAUAUCAAAUGGCUGUGGAGGAAUGCAGGUGAUUGGAGUUGGUCCAAAGGGAAGUUGUGAGUUCUGGGAGGCAGAAGGAAAGCAGCUGCCAUGUUCUGAAGGUUAUCAGCACCUGUUGGUGAUAGAAACAGACACAGAGGUGUUAGCAGGUUCCUGUUUGUCCUCGCACCCCCCUCCCUCCUGAUGGUGACCUUGUCCCAGGUCUUCUACCAGGCCUUCUACCAGAUGCUUUGCUGAGAAUUCACAGAGGCCGUAGACCUGAAGAACCAACAACCUUCCAUAGGCUUUGAGGUCCCACUCCGGCAGCAGGACGUGCUGGCUCCCAGGAAUCACUAAACAAAGAAAGGAAAGAAAGAAAGAAAAAAGAAAGAAAGAAAAAGAAAGAAAGAAAAAGAAAUAAAGAAAGAAAGAAAAACUCAAGGAAGAUAACCAGUUCUCUGAGCUGUGCCAAUACGAAAUUGGAUUGGGAAUUGACAAACAAUUGUGGAGGUUGGCAAUUCCAAAAUCUGAGGAGUAGGUAAACUGGAAGACUAGAGACCCUGGGAAGAGUUGAUGUUACAGCUUGAAUCUGAAGGCAGUCUGCUGGAAGAAUCCCCUCUUUCUUGUAGAAGCCCCUUGACUGGGCAAACUUCAAACAAGUGACUGAGCUCCCUUAGCUGCCACUGAUUGGACCAGGAUGGACAACAAAUGUAGGAGGAGUUCAUCUGGAUCUAGCCUGAGCCAGUCAGAUAUCCCCUUUGAAUCCAUGCCUAUAGAAAUACAAAAAAAUGGAAGCCAGAGGAUGAUGGAUCCUUGAAGUAAUAAGUCAGGUAGAUCUUGAAAAUUUUUGACUCAAUCCAUAUUGAUGAACACAAGAAUAAUUCUGGUCUACAAAGAGAGGCAAGAGAAAGACUUGGGGUGUAUUAAGAAAAACAGCUCUGUGGAAGUUUGAGUGACUCAUUGCAGAGAGGAAUUGAUGAAGUCAACAGCUGCUGGAAAAACUUCUUUUUCCUUAAUAGCUGUAUCAACAUGUGGUUGCUAUUAUUCAAAGUGGAUGAAAUAAUUCUGCAAGCCAGUGGGAACAGGAAGCUUCAUGAAGAGGAGAAAGGCUUAGGGCUCAGAAACCGCACAGAGCAGGAGGAUAGAUGAAUGUAAGGAACAGAGCUUUGAGGACAGACACCCCUGGAUUAGACAAUAGCUCCAAAACUUAUUAAUGAUGGUGAAUGGGUGACUUUCUAAAACCCUUUAAACCUUAUUUGUAAAAUGGGACCAUCAAUAUCUAUUUUGAAAUCUUGUAUAAAUUUGCAAUAAUGUCUGUAAAGUAUCUGACAGGAGCUCAGAAAUGACACAAUUCUUUAAAUCCACUCACACCCAACUUUUA